rnacentral:rRNA from 1 species
GUAGGUGGCAAGCGUUGUCCGGAAUUAUUGGGCGUAAAGCGCGCGCAGGGCGGUUCUUUAAGUCUGAUGUGAAAGCCCACGGCUCAACCGUGGAGGGUCAUUGGAAACUGGAGAACUUGAGUACAGAAGAGGAAAGCGGAAUUCCACGUGUAGCGGUGAAAUGCGUAGAGAUGUGGAGGAACACCAGUGGCGAAGGCGGCUUUCUGGUCUGUAACUGACGCUGAGGCGCGAAAGCGUGGGGAGCAAACAGGAUUAGAUACCCUGGUAGUCCACGCCGUAAACGAUGAGUGCUAAGUGUUAGGGGGUUUCCGCCCCUUAGUGCUGCGGCUAACGCAUUAAGCACUCCGCCUGGGGAGUACGGCCGCAAGGCUA